rfam:Triticum urartu cultivar G1812 contig119321, whole genome shotgun sequence.
AUAGUACUCCCUCCGUUUCAAAUUACUUGUCGCGGGUAUGAAUGUAUCUAGAUGUAUUUUAAUUCUAGAUACAUCCAUUUCUACGACGAGUAAUUUGGAACGGAUGGGAGUAUGAA